UUUUAUAAUAAGAAUAGACGAGGAAGAAAGAAGAGAAAAUAUUAUAAGCACUUUUUGAAAAAUUGCAAAAUUUAUUUUUAGUCUCUAGCAAGAGACCCAAAAAGAAAAAAGUCCCAUCCUCUCCUUCUCACCACUGACGCCAUCGCCUCCUUUCCCCCGCACUCUCUGUUUCUGGUCAUUAACCUCGCCGCCCUUCCGUCCCUUGCCUACCGUGAACCAUCCUCGAUGUCGCUAGCCUGUUUCCGCCAUCCUCACCGCCUGGAGCCGACGAAGGAGAGGUGCUUGAGAGGAGGAAGCUUCCUUCCUCACUGCCACCACCAAAUCAGCCCCACAUCGUUGUUUCCUUGCCAAUCUGACACCAGAUUCUAACUCUCCACCAUCAAAAACCCCCUGGACAGCUCUCCCCCGCUGUAUCUCUCGCCGAAGCAGAAAUCCUUCCUCCGCAAUCAGGCAUUUUCUGGCAAGAGCUAGACUGUAAAUAUGGUGUUUUUGGUUUUAGCACGUCUCAAGUUUUGAAUAGAUACUUUCGGAUUUGAAUCCUGAUGUCGUUGAGGGUUGAGCUUCAUUGCGGAGUUGGAACAAAAAUGCAGUUUUGGUGGCCCGACUCCUGAUAAAUAAUUGCCGAAUAUUUAAAAUAUUUCUAGCAGGUUCUGGACCUAUUAUACGAGGAUAAUUCGUCCGUCCAGCCAGCUUCAUCCGAGGUGUAGGUGCAGACUGUGAGUAAAAUCAUAUAUCCUCUAUACAUGCACUAUGCUAAAUUCUUAUAUUAGCAGUUCAAUUAAUAAUUAUUUCAUAUAGUAUUAUCAUAUAUAUAUAUAUUGCUGAAAAUUUUUAUUCUAUAUUUAAUAAAAUAAUUUAUCGAUUUAAAUAAUUUAUUUAUUAUUUAUCCAAUUAAUUGAUUUAUAACUUUUAGAUGAGUUAUUUAUUGUUCAUCUAAAUAAUUGUUUAUGGAUUUAAUUAUUUAUUUACUAUUUAUUUAAAUAAUUAUAUUUAUAACUGCAAAUUAUGUGUUGUUCAAUGUUAUUUAAUAAGCUAUUGAAUAAUAGUUAAGUUGCUUGCUAUUUAUAUAUCCUUUUUUUGCAAUAUCGAUACUAUGAUUGCAUAUUGACUCGGGAUGAGGCUGCAGCAGAACAUGCCACCUAAUCGGUUGCAUCAGGACUGUGUGCACACCAGUAUUAAUUAGAGACAAGUAGUAAAGAAUAUUUUUAAAACUUGUCUUGGUCGAGUUCAAAUCUCUAGGCUAUGAGGAUUUGAUUGCCGCAGUAAAGGUCCCUAGUCAAGCGUUGCUCUCUGGGCCUCCACUUUAUUGGGAAUCAAGUAACUAGGCUGAUUUAAGGAUUCUAGUUGAGGUUCGCUCUCUAGGCCCCAGUCGUGGAGUAAAGGAGCCGAAAGGCUGCUAAUAUUGGGGUUAGGGUUAUGAUGAGGUACUUGUCCCAUAGCGUUUAAAUUGUAUUUUUUUGAAUCAUAGCAUGACACAUGUUUUAAUAUGAUAUAAUAUUUUAUUUUGAUUAAAUAAAUAUUUUAUUGAGAGAGUUGUCUUUAUUCUUG